rnacentral:lncRNA from 1 species
CAUGGAGCGUGGUUUGAAGGAGUUCAAUGAUAUGGAUAUAGAGAUUAUUCAAUUCUUUUUUGUUCAGGGUUCACCUUCUUCAGGAGGCAGCCAGUAUGGAGGACAGGGCUUUUCUUCAGGGGUCAGGCAGUCUGGUGGACAGGGUGGGUGUGUGUGCCCCGGUGGAGGUUCAGUAAGUAUUUUUUGUCUUUAUAUAUUAUUCAUAGUAUGUACUCAUACUGGAAAAUUCCCAAGGAGCUACACUUAUUGAAAUAAUUCUGUCUGUCAAGUUCUAUGUAUGAUGAAAUCUUUUUCCACAUUAUGCUAAAAUGAGAAAUUAAUUUUGAACCUGCUAAAGGCAAAAAUAAUAAGUGAUUUGGAACCACAGCAUUGUAUUCAAAAUGAGCUACUCAGUUUGUAAGAGAGGCCUGGGACUUUUCUAAGAAUCUGUUUCACAAAUAUCUCAUAGUGUACCUGUUGGCUUUUGGACUUUGCUCUUAUGAUAGUUAUUAACAAUAUGAUUGAACUAGUGAAACUUAGAUUAAAAUCUUGGCUUCAAAUGCUUUCAGAAUGGGGUAGAGAAACACAUUUGAGAAAAUUAAAGCUAUUUCAAUUUUUCUGUCUCACUGGUAUAUUUCCUAUUUCUUUGUAAAUUCCUGGGAAAAAAGCCAAAAAAACCCAAAAAUAUAAAAAACAUCCCCUAAUCCCCACUCCCCCCAUUCUGCUGAGAUCAAGUUAAUUUACUUCUGAAGGAGGCUCAGUUACCUGGGUUUUUUUCAGUGCAGUCAAAAAUUUCUUGGAUCACUACUUCUCUUUAUUGGUCUAUGUAAUGAAGCAAAAUGACAUGCCCAAGUAUAUAACCCAUGGUAUAUAUGCCAGUUCUGAGAAUCAAAA